AAGGAAUUGACGGGGGAGCGCACAACCGGUGGAGCAUGUGGUUUAAUUCGAUACAAAGCGAAAAACCUUACCCAGAUUUGACAUGUACCUGCACGGUCUAGGAAACUAGACUUUCUUCGAGAGUGGUACACAGGUGAUGCAUGGCUGUCGUCAGCUCGUGUCGUGAGACGUCCACUUAAGUGUGGUAACGAGCGCAACCCUUGUCGUAUGUUAUACGUAUCAUACGAGACUGCCUCUGCUUAGCAGGGGAGGAAGGAGAGGACGAUGUCAAGUCAGCAUGUCCCUUACAUCUGGGGCUACACACAUCCUACAAUGGAGCCGACAACGGGUAGCGACGGGGUAACCCCGAGCCAAUCCUAUAAACGGCCCCUCAGUUCGGAUUGAAGGCUGCAAUUUGCCUUCAUGAAGUCGGAAUCGGUAGUAAUCGCAAAUCAGCAGGUUGCGGUGAAUACGUUCUCGCUCCUUGUACACACUGCCCGUCAAGCCAGCAAAGUCAGCAGCGCCCGAAGCGGGUGUCCAUAACCCCGCAUUUAUGCGGGGGGUGGCCCUUCUACGGCGAGGUUGGCGAUGAGGACUAAGUCGUAACAAGGUAUCCGUACUGGAAGGUGCGGAUGGAUCACCUCCUUUCUAAGGAGUAAG
rnacentral:rRNA from 1 species